UGGGGAAUAUUGCACAAUGGGUGCAAGCCUGAUGCAGCCAUGCCGCGUGUAUGAAGAAGGCCUUCGGGUUGUAAAGUACUUUCAGAGGGGAGGAAGGCGAUGUGGUUAAUAACCGCGUCGAUUGACGUUACCCGCAGAAGAAGCACCGGCUAACUCCGUGCCAGCAGCCGCGGUAAUACGGAGGGUGCAAGCGUUAAUCGGAAUUACUGGGCGUAAAGCGCACGCAGGCGGUCUGUCAAGUCGGUUGUGAAAUCCCCGGGCUCAACCUGGGAACUGCAUCCGAAACUGGCAGGCUUGAGUCUCGUAGAGGGGGGUAGAAUUCCAGGGGUAGCGGUGAAAUGCGUAGAGAUCUGGAGGAAUACCGGUGGCGAAGGCGGCCCGCUGGACGAAGACUGACGCUCAGGUGCGAAAGCGUUGGGAGCAAACA
rnacentral:rRNA from 1 species